rnacentral:rRNA from 1 species
GAUGAACGCUGGCGGCGUGCCUUAUACAUGCAAGUCGAGCGAUAGGAUGGAGAGCUUGGCCUUAUGAAGUCAGCGGCGGACGGGUGAGUAACACGUGAGUAACCUGCCCAUAAAACUGGGAUAAAUCCGGGAAACAGGGGCGCAUACGGGCUAACAUUUUGAACAGCAUGGUUCGAGAUUGAAAGGCGGCUUCGGCUGUCACUUAUGGAUGGACCCGCGUCGCAUUAGCUAGUUGGUGAGGUCACGGCUCACCAAGGGAACGAUGCGUAGCCGACCUGAGAGGGUGAACGGCCACACUGGGACUGAGACACGGCCCAGACUCCUACGGGAGGCAGCAGUAGGGGAUCUUCCGCAAUGGACGAAAGUCUGACGGAGCAACGCCGCGUGAGUGAUGAAGGCUUUCGGGUCGUAAAACUCUGUUGUUAGGGAAGAACAAGUGCUAGCUGAAUGAGCUGGCACCUUGACGGUACCUAACCAGAAAGCCACGGCUAACUACGCGCCAGCCGCCGCGGUAA